rnacentral:rRNA from 1 species
AAAAGUCGUAACAAGGUUUCCGUAGGUGAACCUGCGGAAGGAUCAUUAUCGUACAAUGGAGGUGCUGGGGUUGUCGCUGACCUUUCAAAGGGUCGUGCACACCUCGGUGCUCUCGUACAAAAUCCAUCUCACCCCUUUUGUGCAUCACCGCGUGGGGGCCCCUUUCGGCUAGUUCCGAGGGGGGCUUUCACGUUUUUAUACAAACACCCUUUUAAUGCAAUAUGUAGAAUGUCUUACUUUUUGCGAUCACACGCAAUUAAUACAACUUUCAACAACGGAUCUCUUGGCUCUCGCAUCGAUGAAGAACGCAGCGAAAUGCGAUACGUAAUGUGAAUUGCAGAAUUCAGUGAAUCAUCGAAUCUUUGAACGCACCUUGCGCCCUUUGGCAUUCCGAAGGGCACACCCGUUUGAGUGUCGUGACAUUCUCAAAACCUUCUUGGUUUCUUGACCGGGAAGGCUUUGGACUUUGGAGGCUUUUGCUGGCAUUCCCUUGUUGAAGCCAGCUCCUCUGAAACGAAUUAGUGGGGUCUGCUUUGCCAAUCCCUGACGUGAUAAGAUAUUUCUACGUCUUGGGUUUCGCAUCCGCAUCCCGCUUCUAACCGUCUCAUUAGAAGACAAUGGCCGAGUGAUUGCCACUCGACCCACGAACCUUGACCUCAAAUCGGGUGAGACUACCCGCUGAACUUAAGCAUAUCAAUAAGCGGAGGA